UCUCCGUUGGUGAACCAGCGGAGGGAUCAUUACCGAGUUUACAACUCCCAAACCCCAUGUGAACCUACCAAACGUUGCUUCGGCGGGAUGCCCCGGGCGCGGGCCGCAAGGCCUCAGCCCCGGAACCAGGCGCCCGCCGGAGGCCCAAACCAAACUCUUGUUUUUGUAGAAUCUUCUGAGUGGCCUUUUAGGCAAAAAAUGAAUCAAAACUUUCAACAACGGAUCUCUUGGUUCUG
rnacentral:misc_RNA from 1 species